rnacentral:rRNA from 1 species
AAUAGAUACCCAGGUAGUCCACGCCGUAAACGAUGAGUGCUAAGUGUUAGAGGGUUUCCGCCCUUUAGUGCUGCAGCUAACGCAUUAAGCACUCCGCCUGGGGAGUACGGCCGCAAGGCUGAAACUCAAAGGAAUUGACGGGGGCCCGCACAAGCGGUGGAGCAUGUGGUUUAAUUCGAAGCAACGCGAAGAACCUUACCAGGUCUUGACAUCCUCUGCCAACCCUAGAGAUAGGGCGUUCCCCUUCGGGGGACAGAGUGACAGGUGGUGCAUGGUUGUCGUCAGCUCGUGUCGUGAGAUGUUGGGUUAAGUCCCGCAACGAGCGCAACCCUUGAUCUUAGUUGCCAGCAUUCAGUUGGGCACUCUAAGAUGACUGCCGGUGACAAACCGGAGGAAGGUGGGGAUGACGUCAAAUCAUCAUGCCCCUUAUGACCUGGGCUACACACGUGCUACAAUGGAUGGUACAAAGAGCUGCGAACCCGCGAGGGUAAGCGAAUCUCAUAAAGCCAUUCUCAGUUCGGAUUGUA